GGAGGACGGUAUUCGGCUCUUAGCAUCUCCAGUCCUGGAGGGGUACUGAGAAUCAUGCAACCUUUUUCUUACCUACAUGGAAGUUUCACCCAGUGAAAAGAAUAGGGCAGUGCUCAAUCCACUGCUGCAAACCUACCGCUGUCUUACAGCACACAGUCACAUUGGCCUGGGCGAUAUGGGUACUAUAACUGUCAUCUCUGGCCGGGUGAGGUUAUCUCAGAGUUAUUACAAACAGGAUGGAUUUCCUCCAGAGAAUGAACCUCAUAAAGGCUUACCAGAAGUAAUAUUCCCUACCAUUCAAGAAAAAUGAAAGUCUUAAUCUUCUUUUCUGAUCUUAGAAAUACCACAAAAACCUCUGCAGUGCCAGUGUUACUUGUCGGCAUGAGUCUGCUGGACAAGGAAAUCACAGCAAUGAUCUUUUGAGGUGACAACCUCACCACUUGUUUGUAGCUCUUGCAUCAUGUUUAAAGCUCUUCCCAGACUGCUACUGCUGGGGUGUGUUGCAUCAUGCCAGCCUGAGCUCUGCGCAGUGGGGCCAGUAAUCCCUGGGAUACAUUCAGCACCUGAGCUGGGAAGUGUCCCUCCAGCACACCCUUCAUCCACUAUCUGGAUGACUAAUACAGCAGGGGGUAUUUAAUAGAACAAGAAUAUAAUUUUUGUCCUUUCACUGGUCCUAAUCAGAAAGUACUCUAAAUAUGAGUGUGUUUAUAUCAACAGAACAAAACCUUCUACUCCUCUGGCUAGAGAACAGGAAGAUAUCUGAAGAAUUAGUCUGAUUCUGCAUUUAUUGCAUUUUAUUGCUUCCAUAUAAUGUAUGUUCACUUUACAAAUAAACUUACAUUGAUCACAGCACCUCUUCACAGCUGUCAGUCCUGUAACACCCUUCUUAUUUUGAGUUAUGUUCUCCAGCAUUAUUAAUUCAGUAGUCUGUAAUUAAAUGAUUGGCUGAUCAAAUUGUUCCCUCCAGAGUACGCAUGUAAAUGCAUUGAAGACUGACUGAUUUAACUGAGGUCACUCAGAGAUAGUUUAGUCUUCAAACUCACCAUUAUGAAAGAUGAGAAACAGAGAAGAACAUACCUCAGGAGGGAAAGACUCUCUGAACUGGGGGCAGGAAGACUGCAUUUUUUAACCUUGGAUAUUUUUUCUUUUAAUUCCCAUGAAGCAAAAUGAUUCUGAAACCAGAGACCCAAGACCACACAGACUGUUUUGUUUUAUUACUUUAAAGUGUCAAAACUGCAGUUCAGAUUUAAAAAGACAUCAUGGUAAUUAGCUGGUUUCUCUGUUUUGCAUUCUGUCAUCAUGUGAGAACAAAAGGAAAAUUUGAGUGUGAGGGUGUAAAGAGAAGUUGAGUGUCCCUUCUGUUUUCAUAAGAUCUGCUUCCACAUCUCAUAUGCAAAGAUUAAGAGGCUUACACAGAUGUAAGCUGUUGGGGGGAGAUGAAGGUUUUCAUGAAGGUGUUGUUUGACUGAUGAGAAUUGCUGAGCAUAUACUCCAGCUGUGUGUUGAACAUCAGUACUAGGCAGUAUGGUCACUUCAUCUGGGAUCUUCCGGAUUUGCUGCAGCUUCCUAGAAAGGAUCAUAUUAAACUUACAAUUCCACCUGCAGUUGCCACUGGCUGUUGCCCUGUGUUUUCAAGCUACCAAAUGAAAAAAAACAAAUGAUGGACCUGUAUGAGACUGUGAUCAAGCCAGGCCAGCUCAACCCAGACACAAUGGAGGCAAAUUACAGCACAGGCAGGCUGGGAGCAACCACCAGAAGAGCUGGA